rnacentral:lncRNA from 1 species
UUUGGUCUGUUUUCUGCUGUUUCUUGGUCUCAACCUGUAUUCUAACCUGGCCAGUCAUAGUCAAAAAUGUUCUCUUGAUCUGCCCUUGGAACAGGUGAUAGGAUGUGGAUAACCACUGUAAAUCUGUCACCAUGGCUGGAAAACAAUCCCCAGCACCUGCCCUGCCAUGUAUGGAAAGCAGAACAUUUAUCAAGAUCAGUCCGGGAGAAGCCAGUUUGGAAUUUUUCCCAAAAGAUAAGAGGAAAGAGAAAAUCUUACUGGAGAAAACCAUGCCAAGCCUGAGAACAUUGAGUACCCAAGGCCAAGCUCAACAAGGGCAGAGAACUUUCCGGCAAGAAAUUAUCCCAUCUGUAACAAGGCCAGUCUCAUGGUCUACAGCUCACAAUUGGCAAGAAGAUAGAUUAAAUGGACAUUCAAGGACCUGCACAUUUGGUCCCAGCAUCCUCCCAGUUCACCCCGUAGGCCACCCACAUGGACUCAUUGUCCUCAUUUUUGUGUUACAACUUUCGCACAUGCUACUUCCUUUGCCUGGAAAGACUUCUUUCUGAUUCUACUUGCCUGGAAAAGCCCAACCAUCCUUUAAGAAUCAGCUCAAAGGUCACCUCCUCUAUGAAGGCUCUCCUGUAUACUCAGUCAUUCACCCACACAUGCUUAUUGAGUACUGUUGUGCUCUUCAGCCAAGACUACCAUGAACCUGCCAGCAAUGAAACAAGGUAGGAGAUGCCUCCAUGGGGGCAUCUCCAUAGCGUGUUACACAGAACUUAUUAUAAGAUGUGGAUUUUGGUUUGGUGAUUUGGGGAGGAUCUAAGAAAUCAAGAAUUUGCUGUAGAUUGGAAACCACCAGAGAACAAGGGCAAUUCUAUGAUUGGGUUUUAUGGGUGGCACAGUGACCUUGUUUUUGUCUUUGCAGAGACAAAAUUAUGCAGUGACCUUGUUUUGUUUCACUUUAUCAUGGUUCAGAGUAAGUUUAUCUGAGGUUGGUGUUCUGUAAGACUGUUUAUGUCCAACAAAAGAAUAAAAUGGCCUGGCUAUGAGAGCUUGUAAUACUAUUCGGGUCCAGCUGUGAUUAUUUGUGUGUGUCAGGAUCUGCUUUCUUUUUUCUUAGCAUCUAUAGUAUAGCCGUUCUUGGACUAUGAUAAUGUCUGUAUGUCUUUUACAUCACUUCAGCAUGUUGUAUUGUGUAGCAGACAGUGCUGGUAUCUCUUAAGAUCCAUUCAAAC